GACAGCCCCAAGAAUGGUUAACUUCCAGGCUGAUGUUCUUACUCAACUACUAAACCAAGAAGAGGAGAUGUAACCAUAGACUUGUUUUUGGAAGAAGAUUUGGUUAGCUGUUUGGUCACUUUAUGCAAUUUGGGUGAACUGUUCCUUUAACUGAGUGAAUGGGGCAUGAUAGAUAUUGAUUAUAUAAAAAUUGAAAAAGUUCAAAGUCAGAUAAAUUCAAGUUAGAUAUUUUAUUCAAAUGGUGAGUAAACAACGAGUUUCAGUAAUGAUAAAGUUUUAGCAGAUGUGAGAGUUAUACCAGGGGCAUGUGCUAGUGUAAUGAUGAGACAGAGAGGUUCGGAUCCAUGUGCAGAACUUUUAAUGAGAAUGGUCAGACAGGCAAUGAUCAGCAAUGGCGUCAGGUAUAUAGGGAUAACCAGAAUCAAAAACAGGAAUAAGCAGAUGUCGGGGGCAGGCAGCAGAGAAUCAGAGUCGGUAUAAACAAUCCAAAGGUCAGGUACAGAGAGAUCAAACACAAGGAAACCGCUCGGAAAUGACAGACACAGCAAAUCAAGACUUCGCAGAGAGUGAGAGUGAGUGUGCUGCUUAUAUGUGUGUGUAAAUGAGGUGCAGGUGUGGCAAGGAGAUUGACUGAGGAAUGAUGUUUGUGAAUGAUUGUGAUGCAGAGACUCAUGGGAAGUGGGUGUGGUGCAACAGAUAAGAGGUGCUACACUGUUAAAUGUCGCUGUAGAUUUAGCAGCACAUUACUGUAAAAACCUACAGUACAAUACUUCAUUUUUUUUAUAUUACAGUAAAAUACUGUAAUUUGCAUUGCAUUCUGAGUAAUAUUGUUUGAGCGGGAACAUUUUACAGAAUAUUUUAGUGUUGCUGUAACCUAACUGUAACUUGGCUGUAAUAUGCCAGGCAAUAAUAGAGAAUUGCUGUAAACAGCGCGUCACCUGACAGACGACAUCACAACACAACUGCUGCAGCUCACUUACAGAUGUCUGAACGUCUCUCUCUGUGGAAAUCUGGAAGUUUGCUCUACAGUGUGGGCCACUUAUUUUUGCAGCCUGAGAAUGAGUUUUCUGUCACGGCAACCCAGGCAGACAUUGAGGCACAGCAGGUGAUACCAGACACACCCAGGCUCAUUAUGCUUGAGCCUGAGCUGGUGCAGGCGUGCGCAGUGGGUCCCAACACAUCGCUCAGGCAGUCUGCAGUUCUGUUAGAUCCGGUGGAUAAGGAUGGAAAGAAAAUGAGAAUGUGAGCGAGAAUCCUUCUAAGGACACCCUAAGUUCAUGCCAGGCCUUCGCCCUUUACUUUCCAUUCAUCAAGAUCCUCUGACUUAGAAUAGGUCCUUCUCAUCACCUAACUUCAGCCAACCCACUGGAGCUCCAAAAUGCAUCAGGACUCUUUUUCAAACAGACGAGACGUGCAAAUAUCAAACUUAGUCUCAUGAAGUGAUACAUUAAGUAUCAUUUGCACCUUUAACAGAGGUGUGUUUGAUCUGAGAAAAUGAUGUUUCCUUCAGGCUGUAGAUCUGCUGAAUAUCAAAUUUUACCAUAGCUUCAUGUUUUGUUUUUCUCUUCACUUCACUGCUUAAGCUUUAACCCUUUUUCCUUUGCCCACUGUGUGUGUGUAUGCUAGACUAGUUUAUGUGUUUAUGUAGUUAAUAAAGUCUUACUUGUAUCACACUUGAGGUUGUUCAUUGUUUGCUCAUAACUGGAGUCCCUAAUCAUGCAGAUUUUUGCUACAAGCUCUGAGUAAUACAGUAAGAAAGUUAUUUUAACCAGGAAAUUAACAUUCUUAGAAUUGACAGACAGUUGACACUG
ensembl:lncRNA